UACGUAGGGUGCAAGCGUUGUCCGGAAUUAUUGGGCGUAAAGAGCUCGUAGGCGGUCUGUUGCGUCGGCUGUGAAAACCCGGGGCUCAACCCCGGGCCUGCAUCCGAUACUGCCCGACUAGAGGUAGGUAGGGGAGAUCGGAAUUCCCGGUGUAGAGGUGAAAUUCGUAGAUAUCGGGAGGAACACCGGUGGCGAAGGCGGCGACCUGGGUUGACAUUGACGCUGAGGCGCGAAAGCGUGGGGAGCAAACAG
rnacentral:rRNA from 1 species